UACGUAGGGGGCUAGCGUUGUCCGGAAUUAUUGGGCGUAAAGCGCACGUAGGCGGCCUUGUAAGUCUCACUGUGAAAGUCCGGGGCUCAACCCCGGGAUGCCAGGGGAUACUGCGAGGCUGGAGACAAGCAGAGGUUGGUAGAAUUCCGGGUGUAGCGGUGGAAUGCGUAGAGAUCCGGAGGAAUACCAGAGGCGAAGGCGGCCAACUGGGCUUGUUCUGACGCUGAGGUGCGAAAGCGUGGGGAGCGAACAGG
rnacentral:rRNA from 1 species